UACAGAGGUGCCAAGCGUUAGGCGGAAUCACUGGGCUUAAAGCGCGUGUAGGCGGCUAAGUAAGUCGGGCGUGAAAUCCCACGGCUCAACCGUGGAAGUGCACUCGAAACUGCAUAGCUAGAGUCCUGGAGAGGAAGGUGGAAUGCUUGGUGUAGAGGUGAAAUUCGUAGAUAUCAAGCGGAACACCGGUGGCGAAGGCGGAUCUCUGGGCCUUACCGUGACGCUGAGGAGCGAAAGCGUGGGGAGCGAACAGG
rnacentral:rRNA from 1 species